rnacentral:rRNA from 1 species
GUCUAUGGCCAUGCCACCCUGAACAAGCCCAAUCCCAUCUGAUCUUGGAAGCUAAGCAGGGUUGGGCCUGGUUAGUACUUGGAUGAGAGACCACCUAGGAAGAUCACGUGCUGUAGGCA